GAUGAACGCUGACAGAAUGCUUAACACAUGCAAGUCUUUGGCGAAGCUGUGCUUGCACAGCCUAGUCAAGGCGGACGGGUGAGUAACGCGUAAGGAACUUGCCCUGCAGUCAGGGAUAACAGACGGAAACGACUGAUAAGACCUGGUAAAGUCAGGCGGACUCAUGUCCAGCCUGAUGAAAAGUGAUGCUGCAGGAGAGCCUUGCGUCCUAUUAGCUUGUUGGUGGGGUAACGGCCCACCAAGGCGAUGAUAGGUAGCCGGCCUGAGAGGGUGGACGGCCACAAGGGGACUGAGAUACGGCCCUUACUCCUACGGGAGGCAGCAGUGGGGAAUAUUGGACAAUGGGGGCAACCCUGAUCCAGCAAUUCUGUGUGCACGAUGAAGGUUUUCGGAUUGUAAAGUGCUUUCAGCAGGGAAGAAAAAAAUGACGGUACCUGCAGAAGAAGCGACGGCUAAAUACGUG
rnacentral:rRNA from 1 species